rnacentral:rRNA from 1 species
AGAGUUUGAUCCUGGCUCAGAUUGAACGCUGGCGGCAUGCUUUACACAUGCAAGUCGAACGGCAGCAUAGGUGCUUGCACCUGAUGGCGAGUGGCGAACGGGUGAGUAAUAUAUCGGAACGUGUCCGGAAGUGGGGGAUAACGCAGCGAAAGUUGCACUAAUACCGCAUAUGCCCUGAGGGGGAAAGGAGGGGAUCGCAAGACCUUUCGCUUUCGGAGUGGCCGAUAUCGGAUUAGCUAGUUGGUGGGGUAAAGGCCUACCAAAGGCGACGAUCCGUAGCUGGUCUGAGAGGACGACCCAGCCACCACUGGGACUGAGACCACGGCCCCAGAACUCCUACGGGAGGCAGCAGCGGGGAAUUUUGGACGAAUGGGCGCAAGCCUGGUCUCAGCCUGCCGCGUGAGUUAGAAGGCCUUCGGGUGUAAAGCUCUUUCGGACAAGAGAGAUUCCUAUUCGUUGUACCGAUGGGGAUGACGGUACUGUAAGAAGGGCGCAGGCUGACUACGUGCCGCCGCCGCGGU